UACGAAGGGGGCUAGCGUUGCUCGGAAUUACUGGGCGUAAAGGGCGCGUAGGCGGGUGUUUAAGUCAGAGGUUAAAUCCCAGGGCUCAACCCUGGAACUGCCUUUGAUACUGGGCACCUAGAGUACGGGAGAGGUGUGUGGAACUCCGAGUGUAGAGGUGAAAUUCGUAGAUAUUCGGAAGAACACCAGUGGCGAAGGCGACACACUGGCCCGUUACUGACGCUGAGGCGCGAAAGCGUGGGGAGCAAACAG
rnacentral:rRNA from 1 species